AAAACUAAAAAAAGAUUAUAAGCAGAUUUUUUUAACUAUAAAAAAAAAGGCUAUUAUGGUUUAAAAUAAUUAAAAAUUAAAUAAAAGGUUAGAAAAGUUAUAAAUAUUUCAAAAAUUAUUUAGAAGGAAUAUAAAAAAAUUAAAUUGAAAAUUUAUCUGAUUAAAAUUAAAAAAAAAUUUAAAAAUAUUUGGAUAGUUUUAAAAUAAAAACUAUAUAUAUAUAGAGUAGGGCUACUAUACUCUUAUGAGCAUUGGGCCCUUCAUACUCAUAAGUUGUUUUCGAUGAUGGGGCUCUCGAAUCGACAAUCCAUUACGUUAAAUAUGAUCUAGAGUAUUUGAAACUUCUAAAAAAUAAAUUUCGUAAUUUUUGGAAAUCAUAAUAAAGUCCAUCAAACGGGCAUAAAAUGAACGGUCAAAAUCGAACGACGUCCUAAAAAUAGAUGAUCGGAUGCUUCAAUUUAAGAUCGGAGUUAUUGAUCAUUAUCUAGAUAGUGAAUAGAAUUUUCUAUCAAAAAUUCAACCUAUUCCAAUUCUUUUAUAUGGUUAAACUAGCAAGUAUUCUAUACCGGCCGUUAAAAAUUGUCAAUUUUGUGAGCUUUUGAUCGUAAGGUAAAUGAUAUCGAAAAAUUAUGAAAUUUGAUUUCUAGAAGUUUUAAAUGCUCUAGAUAAUGUUUAACUGUAUGGAUCGUCGAUUCGGAAGCUCUAUCAUCGAAAACAACUUAUGAGUACGAGAGCGAUCUUACUCAUAAGAGUAUAGUAGCCGGACUCUCUCUCUCUCUCUCUCUCUCUAUAUAUAUAUAUAUAUAUAUAUAUGGUUAAAUGCAUUCAUGCACUUGCAAAUAUAGUGAAUUGCAAAUAUAUCUCUAUAAAGUUCAACUUUCAUAUGUUGUGUCUAUAAAAAUUUCUAAUAUUUUCAAAUAUAUCCAUCUGAUUUGUUACCGUUAUUUAUGUUUUAAGUGAAAUAUCAAUUUUACCAUCACAAAUAUAUUCCUCCAAAAAUUACAAUAGUAUAAUAUAAGAGAGUCAAAAAUGUCAAGUUAUUUCAUAAAUUAACUAGAGUUAAGCAUUUAAUCUAUGAUUAAUUAGAGUUUUCUAACGAAUUCUAAUGGUAGGGAUAUAUUUGAAAAUAUUAGGAUUUUUGUAGGGACAAUAUAUAAAAAUUAAAUUUUGUAAUGAUAUAUUUGUAAUUUACUAGCUUGCAGGGACAUGUUUAUAUUUAUUAGCAUUGAGUUCUAUAUGUUAAUUAAUAUUUAUUUAGUUGCUAAUACAUUUUUAAAAAUUUAGCAAAUAUAAAUAAAUAUGUAUAGGUCGGAGUUAAUAAUCUUUUACCUAGAUAAUAAAUAUAAUUUUCUACUACAAAUUUAAUUAAUUAUGAUUCUUUUACACCGUUAAACUAGCAAUAAGGCUGGUUAAACUAACAAGUAUUCAAUAUCAAAAAAUUAUAACUAAUCGUCCCUAAUGCAAGUGCCAAAAGGCUUGAUAAUUAGUACCCGAGGUCCUUAGUUCUAAACGAAAUGGGUAACAUGUUACCCAUCUCUCAAAAAAAAAUCAAAAAAUUAUAAAAUUUAAAUUUUUCAAAUUUUAAAUAUUCUAAAUCAUGUUUAACAAUAUCUACCGUUAUUCAAAAGUUCUAUCGGGAAAAAUAAUUUAUGAAUACAAUGAGGAUCCUAUUCAUCAAAGUAUAUAUGCACAAACCUCUGAUUGGUUAGCUAUCCUCAAAUAGAUUUCCUUUGGACCUAGUUUACACACACCCUCAUUGGUUAGCUAUCCUCAAAUAGAUUCCUUUUUUCCUCUUAAAAGGAGGAAUUCUACACUGUCGUACUUGCACCACAUCGUCAAUAACAAAUCAAUCACAUUUCUUUUUUUCAAACAAAAGUACAAUAAAAAUAUUUUUUUACAAUCAUGAUGAGACAUAUACCCCUAAAAGAAGACAUUUGAUUGGUUUGUUACGCUACGUCACUAAUAUACCCAUUGCAUUCUAAAAUUUUUCCUUAAAAGGACCUAUAUAUAUAUAUAUAUAUAUAUAUAUAUAUAUAUAUAUAUAUAUAUAUGAUUGAUUUAUUAUUGAUGUUCUGGUAGAACUGUAACAUAAUAGACUCAUCAAGAUACAACUAGCUCCACAUUAUCACCUCUCAAGAUCAAGUACAUGCAUAUUACACUAUGCUCAGUCUGAGAAAAGAGGGAAAUGGGCCAGAUUCAUAAAAUAAGCAAAGCCAAAUCAACAAACUAGAGGCCAAAAUGCGGAGGAAAACAAAAAGGCCACCUAGGUACUUUUACUAAACAAGAAGUUUAGUUCAACGUAACACUGGGAAAAAAUAUAUAUAUAUUCGGUGAAAAAAAAUUUUCGUGGAACAAAAAUUUUACAUUGGUUCGUAGAAAAGAAAAAAUAGUUUUCCAACAAUGUUUGUUUGGUUGAAAGGAAAACAUGUAGAAAAAACCAUUUAUAUAAUAUAUGUUUCCUAUAUAGCGUAGAAAUAGUAUUAUACAUUUUAUUUUAUACACAUACUAUACACAUUACUAUUACACUGUUGGUGGGAGAUCCACAAGAAAAAAAAAAUUAUUUGUGCACCUCUCGCACACCCAUGAACUCACACAACCAGCUUCAAAAGACCACCAAUUUAUUUCGUACUCCCAAUUUAACUACCCAAAUUUUAAAUUUUAAACAACUGCUGUAUACAAAAUGGAAUAGACAUAUAUUUAUAAAAAAAUGUUAGAUGAAAAUAGUGUACAUAUAUGAAUACACCAAGUAUACAAUAAUCUCUAGUAUUUGUAGGUGCACUUGGUUCAGACAUUUGGUUUCUUAGUGGGUGGACCGCAUGAUCUUUUAAUUGCCGUGCACAUAUACACACCGGUGUUUUUAUUUAUUUAUUUAUUUAUUUUUUGCAGCAAGAGCUUUUCGUUUUCCACAAUACCGCCAAAACGUUUUCCACAAUUCCACGAAGUUUUGGCGGAAAACAAAAAGGCCCAGUUAUAAUAAUAUGUAAAAAAGUUUUACAAGGAAAACAAUUUUACAGCUCAACAAACGAACGAAAACAAAUUUUCAGACUGAAAGGAGUUUUCUGACCAUUUUUACGAGUAAUCAAACACACCCUAAACGAAAAUACAGGGGGUAUAAACUGAGAAUCACCUCAUAUUUGCCACACUAGAUUCAAACACCUCAGCAAUCACCAUGUUCAAGUGCUUGACCAAAGGCAACAAUAACCACAGCAGUUGCCUGCACAGCAACAAGCCAUCCAACUGUGGAUUAAAAUGUGUCGAUUUAGUACCCCGUGAUUUUAUUUCUCUUUUUAUUAUCCCCCUCUGCUAGAUUUUUCGUUAAAUCAAUAACAAAAUUAAAACUAAAAAGUACUUAAAUAAAUAUUCAAUAAACCUAGAUAGGAUAUCUAAAGCUUUUUAUAUAUAAUUUAACAAAAUAUUAACAGAGGAGCUGGCGAAAAAAAAUAAAAAUAAAAAUAAAACCACAAGAAACUAAAUUGAUACAUUUUAAAACACAAAAUACUAAGUGUAGAAGUGCGAAACUGCAGGAAUGAUAUUUGAAGUUUACCCUAUAUAAAAUCCAGCAUACUUUGCAUUACUGCUCGCAAUAUAAGCAACUCAACCAGCAGGUAGCUCACAGCUGACGAGCAUAGCAGCCGGCAUCACAAAAUUUUCAUGAGAAAGGGGGGAAAAAAUCUACUUUGUAACAAUCACACCAUAGAGGAUCGAUAACAAUCAAAUCAAAACUUCAAAAUCAAUCAAUUCACACCAAGAAAGAUAAAUAGAAGAAACAGAACAAUUGCAAUAUGUCUUCCAGUUGAUAGAAACACAAAUGGGGGACGAAAAAAGAUCGAUGGAGGCUCAGAUUUAACGCCGAAAGUAAAAUAAAUCAUAUACGCCAGUCUACCAAUGGUGAAGUCGCUGCAGGGGUUGCCUGCACGGUGGAAGGCCAUCCAACUGCCCAGCGAACAUCGCCAAAGAAACAAGCAUAUCAUUGGGUUGUAAACAAAUGUGGUGCACCGGAUGCAAGAAAUAUAUAUAUAUACACACAUAUUCAAAGAAAAAGAAAAAAAAAAAAAAGAUGAAGAGAGAUAAUGCAUUGCAUGUAGCAAUUCCAAAAACUACAGAUGUUUAGUAGCAUUUAUCGACUCUGUGAUGUGGCGUUUAUCAUCAUUGCCUCCAGAAAGGAAAAGAACAAAAAAAAUUGACGAAACCAUGCCAUUUGGAAGACCCCCUGCUAAAAAGAGUUAGGCAUUAAAGAAAGAGAAACAUAUUCCUACAAAAUCAUACCACUGCAAAAUCUGUAAAUUCACAUAUACUUACUUUGCCCCAGGUGACGAAAAAAGUGCAAUUAGAUAUAUGAAACAGUAACUUCUAAUUCACCAAAUUGAAAAUAUGCCAUACCAGGGAGGAAAAUUGAAGUUUAUUCAAAUAAAAAAAUCAAUAAAUCAAAAGAAAACAAAUACAAACCAAUAAACAAAUAGAAUUGAGGAAAAAACAUAAAGAUAAAGCCACGCUUCAAAUUAGUACCUUGAUUUCCUUGGAAAAGGGAGAGCAAAGAAGAACAGAGGAAGGGUUUAGGGUUUAGUGUUUACUUUUUAGCUCUCGGAUGCCUAGUGUUUAGCAGUGGUAGGUGGAAUCAUAUUGACCCAAGGGCUGAAAAGUUAAUAGCAAACAGCCUUCACUUACUAUCAACACUAUUUCAGAUAAACAACACACACACACACACACACACACACAGAGUCCGGCUACAAUACUAUCAAUAGCACCAAGCACUUGGUGCUAUCAGGUUUUCCGCUAUUAGAUCUACCUCUUUAACCAUUUCCACCCUUUAGAUCAUACUAUUCCACCAACCACUCAAUAAACCCAAGGAUCACAAUCAUGCUAACCGCACAUUCGCACAUCCCUUUAUCCAAGGGGCCGAAAACCUAAUAGCACCAAUGACUUGGUGCUAUUAAUAGUAUUCUAGCCUAGUUCUAUAUAUAUAUAUAUAUAUACAUAGAGAGAGAGAGAGAGAGAGUUACAAUAUUAUUGAUAAUAGCAAGUUGUUGCUACUAUCAAUUUUGUGGCCCUUGUAUCUAUGCAUAAUGUUGAGAGAGAGAGAGAGAGAGAGAGAGAGAGAGAGAGCGAGACAACAGUCUAACACCACGCCCAAGGGUAGAGAAAACAAGUCAUGGGCUGGCAAACAGCAAUUGAAGGACUUCUGGAGCAUGUCACAAAGAUGUCGUGCGUCAUUGCCAUCAUCUUGCACAAAAUACCAGUCCAGGUAAUAUGAGAGAGAGAGAGAGAGAGAGAGAGAGAGAGUGAUCAUCCGACAAGAGUAACAGAUAUGGCAGUCUCCUCCAUCUCAGGCCAACAACAAGGCAUCAUUUGUCUCAAGAAUAAGGCGAGUAAGGUAAAAAUGCAUGGAGACCCUCCAAACUGACGCUGCGAUUUCCCUGCACCACAGCCCCACGUGUGGAUAAAUCCUGGGAAGAGCUUCUCUUGCUGAGAAAAAUCCCGUAGGCUCUUACGCUGUAUCAUUAUUAUUAUUAUUAUUAUUGAAAGAAACUUUUGCUCAGUUUCGGUUGUAAAGAAUCAGUGAAAUUAAGGGGGAAAAAUAGAGACCUAAUUUUGAAGUUCAACAAUAUAAAAUGAUCAUCAAAGAAUUCACAAGAAACAAAUACAAAUUAAUAAACUGGUAAUAUCAAGAACAAAAGUUAAAGAAUAAGAAAAGCUUCAAAUAAUAACUUCAUUGUCUCAGCAAAAGGAGAGGAAAGAAGAACUGAAGUACAAGUCAAAAACCAAUUUGUGUUACAAAGCCAAUAUCAACAUACUAAGAAAAUAAAUGCAAUGAACCAAACCAAAACCCCAAAAUAAAAUAGAAAAAAGAAAAGCAAACAAGCAAGAUGUUUUUAUAUGGUGAAAGCAUACAGACCUUCAAUAAACUAUUGAUCAUUUUGAGUUGACUGUCCAAUCUUUUAAAUUUUGAUUUUGCUACCCAACAUUUCAAUUUGUUUAAUUCGAGUCAAUCAACAGCACUUCAACUUUAAAAUUUGAAUGCGUCUUUUAUUUUUGCAGGUUUAGCUAGCAUACUUCAUGCAAUUCUCGCGACUAUACAUUCAUUAAAGUAAUUAGCUUAAAUUUUGAAGUCAAAAUAUAGUUGACUGACUCAAAUCAAACAUAUUGAAAGGCUAAAUAGCAAAAUCAAAAUUUUGAAAGAUUUUGAAAGAUUGGGUAGCCAAUUCAAAAUGGCGCAUAAUUUAGGCAAGUUCUAUACAUUUUAACCUUUUCAUAUAAGAGGGAUGAAAAGAUCAACCGAGGCUCAGACUUGGUGCAAAGAAACCCACAUAUAUUCCACCCUUAUAAAUACAAUGUAGCUGCAGCAAUGGCCUGCAAAACAGAAGGCCAUCCAGCUGCCCUGCCAACAUCAAUAAAGAAAGAAUUGACAAGUAAAUGGAUGACAUGGUACAUUAAGAGCAGGAAACAAUUUUCUGACAGAAGAAAAAGAUAAAGAGAGAGAGAGAGAGAGAGAGAGAGAGAGAGAGAGAGAGUCAUCACCAUUGAAGAGCAGAUGCAUAUUGAUAGCAUUCUAAUCCAGCCAGCAAACAUCUAGAGACAUGUUUAAUUGGAGUUAGCCCACUUAGGCCAGAAGAUGUGAUUUUCACGAGGCAAAAGGGACAAAAUAGUUAAAGAAUUAUACGUUAAAACAUACAGAGACCCCCUCAACUAUAGGAGAAAUUAUUGCAUGGAACGCAGUCAAUAGACCAGUAUUUCCGAAAGUCAAUACCCACAACAUUUGCAGCCGCGAGGAUGUGAUCACCUUCAUUGCCUCACGGAAAGCAAUAUACACAUACAUACAAAACAUAUACACAAAUGGCAGAAUUGCCUCUGCAAACUUGAAAAAUUACAGAGUUUUAUCUUUGACCUCGUUUUCUCAGAUACCCCUGCUUUGAGGGUUUAUUGAAAAGAAUUUGGAUUGUUAGAAGGGUACAUUUCAGCAUACAUGUUUUUGAGGGCUAUAUAUGAAAGUAGGAAUGUGCUCAGAAGUAUAUAGGCAAUUGUCCCUAAACAAAUAUACACAUAUAGGUAUAAAUAUAGAUAAAUGUAGAGAGAGAGAGAGAGAGAGAGAGAGAGAGAAGAACAAGAACAAGAACAAGAACAAGAACAGAGGGCAUUAAGCCGACGGUUAAUUCUUUUCGUCGGCCUCAAUUAUCUCCCUUCGAGCCGAAGGGCUGUCUCGCAUCUACUAAGGCGGAGCAUUAUUUAGAGUACCUCAGAAAGUCACCAGAAACUCGGCUAACAAGUCAAACAAUCAUAUUAUCAGUGCCACAUAUAUAUAACUCUAUUGGAAUAAAGUUGCACUGCACAAUGUGUACAGAACUCUUCAUUUGAGAGAGAGUACUGCUACAGGUCACAAAGAGAGUUGCCCUUACAGGCAGUUGUUUUUUGGCCUAUAAUAUGUGGACAUGUAAGAGGUCCAUCGAAUAAGUACCGAACCAUUUCCGAAGUUCAUAAAUAAGUACCAAAGUGUCACGCGUCUCAUAGUUUGAGGACCAAAAGUGUAAUUUACCCUUCAUUAAACUAUUCAAUGUGAAAAGGGGGAAUCAAAUGGAAAAAUGGAAAACGAAAAAAAAAAAAAAUCAGAGGAAAAACACAACCGAAUAAUAGAGCAAAAUAGAAGAGAAAUGUUUUCAACUCCACAAGAAAAUUGUAGCACAGGAAGACAAGAAAAGGAGGGGCAGAAGUUCCUCGUCUCCCUUAUCACAACUAAAACCUGUGCUGCCAAAGUUGUUAAAGAAGUAACAGAGGAAAGAAAGGUAUCUCUAUAGCCUCAAUCAUAUUAACUUGGUUUUUCCAUAUAGUAUGUCUGAUUGUGCAAUCCACACAAUCAUCAUCAUGUGCGCUGCUUAGGCAUAUACGAAGGUUGUAUGUCAUAGUCUUCAUGACCAUUCCCUAAGGCUAAGUAGUUUGGGCACGAGUAAGAGGCACAUUAUUAAAUACUAGAGAAAGAGAGGAGAGGAAAAGAGAGACUCAAUUGAAACUCGGGAAACAGUUUAAGGACCUCAAUACACCAAUUAGAAGAUUAGGGACUCACUUGAAACUUCGUUGAAACUUCGGUAAAAGGUUAGGAAAGUCCUAUGAGAUUUACCCCUCAGAAAAUUACGAAAAGCUAUCUUGAGAUUGUUUGAGAGAGAGAGAGAGAGAGCCAGCCCGGAAGAACAGCAGCUCCUACCAAAACCAAAAUGAAACUUGACUCGAAGUUUGAGAACUAACAAUGCAAUUUCCCUCCUAGACAGUAGCUGCAGCUGUUGCCUGCAUAGCAGCAGGCCAUCCAGUUGCCCCGCCUACUCCUGUCUAAGAUAUUAAGAACAACAGGUAUAUAUGAGUCCAGGUAAUAACUGAGAGAGAGAGAGAGAGAGAGAGAGAGAGAGAGAGAGAGAGAAACUGAAAGAGCAGCUGCUUACUUACCAGGACCAAAAUGAAACUUCGGCCAAAAGUUCAAGGACCAACAGUGCAAUUUAUGCCUUAAGAAAGAGAGUAUAGACUUCAAUGUUUUCUUUUAAAAACAAAAAAUUAAUAGAAAAAAGGGUGGGAGGAGAAGAAAAUGGACGCUUGUUUGCCAAAAUAAACCCCCAUGGCUGUCUUUAUCAGCAGAAAUAUAACCAAGACCACCUCUUAGCAAGUAGUUGCAGGUGUUGCCUGCACAGCACCAGGCCAUCCACAAGCCCUGUUAACACGGUUGAUGUAGUGCACCAGGUGGAAGCAACAAAUUUCUUGUAAAGAGUAUUCUCUGUCACAGUUAUUCCAAAUAGAAUUGGUAUUCGACAGCUAAUCCGUUUGACAUGAUGCCAGGUAACCAUUUCUCCCUGAGAGAAAGACCAGGCGAAUAAAUAGAGGGAGAGGGUCAUCGGCCCAGAAGAGCAACAGCUAGUUUGAGGACCAAAAUGAAACUUGACUAAAAGUUCAAGAACUCGUAAUGUUGAUAGAAAAACAAUGGAGGUGCAAAAGAUUAACGGAGGCUCAGAUUUAACACCAAAGGAAAAAUUAAUCAUAUACACCAGUCUAACACUGGAGAUGUAGCUGCAGCCAUUGCCUGCACGGUUGAAGGCCAUCCAGCUGCCCAGCCAACAUCACCAAAGAAACAAGCAUUUCAUUGGGUCGUAAACAAAUGUGGUGAGCCGGGUGCAAGAAAUAGAUGUAUAUAUAUAUAUAUAUAUGAAUGUGUGUGUGUGUACAUGCACACAUAUGGAAAGAAAAAGAAAGAAAGAAAGAAAGAGAAUGGCAUUGCAUGAGAAUAGCAUAUCUUCUCACAAAAUUGCAGUGAUGCGGUGUUUAUCAUCAUCGCCUCCAAGAAGGAAAAGAAAGAAAAAAAAUUUGUAAGAAAGCAUAUUUUGUAUAUAAUGUAACAAAAUGUUAACGGGGGAGCUGGCAAAAAGAGAAAAAUGGAACCACAAGAUACUAAAUUAAUACACUUUAAACCACAUAGUACCAAAGUGAGAAAGUGUGAAACCACAGGGAUGGUAUUUGAAGUUUACCCAAAUGAGUAACACAUGACAGAAAGAGAAUUUAUAUAGAUGUAUAUAUUUAUAGUGGGGCUAAAAUACUAUUGAUAGUAGCAAAGUGGUGGCUGCGACCAACUUUUGACCCUUGGAUCAAUAGGGUCUAGGGUCCAGAGUUUAGGGUUUAGUGGUUGCUACUAUUGAUAGUAGCUCAACUUUAAACCACAUAGUACCAAAGUGAGAAAGUGCGAAACCACAGGGAUGGUAUUUGAAGUUUACCCAAAAGAGUAACACAUAACAGAAAGAAAAUUUGUAUAGAUGUAUAUAUUUAUAGUGGGGCGAAAAUACUAUUGAUAGUAGCAAAGUGGUGGCAGCGACCAACUUUUUGACCCUUGGAUCAAUAGGGUCUAGGGUCCAGAGUUUAGGGUUCAGUGGUUGCUACUAUUGAUAGUAGCUCAACUAUACAUGCACAUAUAUAUAUAUAUAUAUAUAUAUAUAUAGUCGAUCUUGGCUGCUUUCAAAAGUGGAGCAUGCACUAUUCAUGUGCUUCAACUCUAGCCCCAAUAAUAUAUAUAUAUAUAUAUAUAUAUAUAUAUAUAUAUAUAUAUAGUAGGCUACUAUACUAUUAAUAGCACCAACUCAUUGGUGCUAUUAGGUUUUCGGCCCUUGAAUGAAGGGAUGUGCAGUUAGGAUGACAAUGUCCCCUAGGGUUGAGAGGGUGGUUGGUUGAAUAGUAUGAUCUAACAGAUGGGGUAGAUCUAACGGCCAAAAACUUAGUAGCACCAAGCGCUUGGUGCUAUUGAUAGCAUAGUAGCCGGACUCUCUCUCUCUCUCUCUCUCUCUCUCUCUCUCUCUCUCUCUCUACAUAUAUAUAUAGCAAAAUCAAAUCUAUACAUAUGUACCACUGAAAAAUAUUUAACUUCACAUAUACAUUUAGUGCCCUGGGUCCACAAAACGUGAAAUUAGAAAUAUGAAUCAGUAACUUCCCUUUCACCAAUUUAUUUAUUUAUCUACUUAUUUUUUGAGUUACGCAAUCAGAUACAAAUAUAUAAUAAAUAGAAGAGCGAUGCUACCUCUAGAACCACCUUUUGGUUGUAAUAAAACCCUUCGAUCACACUGAGAGACACUUCCGAAAAUGAAGAUGAAUGUUCGCAUAUAUAUAUAUAUAUAUAUAUAUAUAUAUAUAUAUAUAUAUAUAUAUAUAUAUAUAUAUCCCUGCAGAGUGCGGAACUGCACAAAUACCCUUGCAGACUUCUCGUAACAAGCUGCUAAAUACAGCAGUCGCUCAGGUUUGGAUCAAGGGAAUUGGAAAGAAAACAAGAAGAGAAGAACCGCUUAAAGUAACCAAAAAAAAAUCAAAGCAAAAGGAAACAAAUACAAACCAACAAUCAAAUAGAAGUGAGAAAAAAAAAAAGAAGAUAAAGCUAAGCUUCAAAGAAGUACCUUGGUUUCAUUGGAAAAGGGAAAGCAAAGAAGAACAAAAGGGAGGGUCAGAUUCGCAGCAAUAUCGCUCUAACAGCGACGAAAGACAAGCCUUACACUGCAGAAAACAAGGGCAGUAUUUUGGCAACAAGUAGCAAUACUCUUUUGGCAAAACACCUUCCCAGCUGCACACUUAUGGCAUGCGUCACAGUCUGACAGGUUUGGUCUACAGACGAUACGGUGUAUCAAGUUCAAGAAUAGAGAAGACAUGUAAUGGGACAGGCAAACAGCAACUGAAGGACUUUCCGCAGAAAGUCACAAUCAUGUGGAAUUCAUUGCCAUCACCUUGCACAAAAUACCAGUCCAGGCAGUAUGAGAGGGAGAGAGAGAGAUAUUAUUUGCAGGGAGCUGUAUGAAAUUAACCCAUAUAUAUAUAUAUAUAUAUAUAUAGAGAGAGAGAGAGAGAGAGAGAGAGAGAGAGAGAGAGAGAGAGAGAGAGAGUCAUCAGCCUAAAAGAGUAGCAGAAAUGCCGGUCUACUUCCUCUCUGGCCAAAAACCAGGUAGAAUUUGUUCUAGAAUAAGGCAAUUUAGGUAAAAAUGCAUGGAGACCCCCUUUACCGGGGCUGCAAUUCACCUAUCCUCAAGCCCCAGGGGUGGAGAAAUUCUGAAAAAGCCCCUCAACUAUGGCCAUGUCGCAAAGUCUUUUUUUUCAACUUGCCAAAAAUGGCCAAAAGGGUAACAGCAGCAACAAUAACGAUACGGACAUGUUCCCUGCCUUUAGUUUUUGAAAAAACUUCUGCUCUCUUCUGCAUGUAAAGAAUCCAUAAAAUUACAAAGGUAAGUAAAAAUAGAAAAUUCUAUUUCUAAAGUUUAAGAAAGGCCAAUUUGCAUAAAAAAUCCACCAGUUUUGAGAUUUUGCAAGUUCGGUCCCUCUUUUGAGAGAGAGAGAGAGAGAGAGUCAUCAGCCUACACGAGUUGCAGAAAUUGCAAACUACUUCCUCUCUGGCCAACAACCAGGCAACAUUUGGUUAGAGGACAAAGCAAUUCAGGCGAAAAUGUACAGAGAGCCGCUAAAGUGGCAAUGCAAUUUCCCUGCCCUGCAGCCCCAGGCAUGGAGGAAUCCUGGGAAAAAGCCCCUCAACUAAAGUCAUGUUAAAAGAAGACCUUUGUUUUUCUUUUCCUGCAGAAAAUGGCCAAAGGGAACACAUUUGCUCUCUUUUUUUCUCUUUUGUCCUCUUCUUCUUCUUCUUUCUAAGAGAAAUCCAGUAGGCACCUUGAAUUUUUUUUUUUUUUUUUUUUGCGGAUUAACUUUUGCUCAGUUUCAGUGGUAAAGAACCAGUGAAUGCAACAAGAGAGAGCAAAAAGUGCAAAAGAUUGACGGAGGCUCAGAUUUAACACCAAAGGAAAAAUUAAUCAUAUACACCAGUCUAACACUGGAGAUGUAGCUGCAGCCAUUGCCUGCAAGUUGAAGGCCAUCCAGCUGCCCAGCCAACAUCGCCAAAGAAUCAAGCAUUUCAUUGGGUAGUAAACAAAUGUGGUGAACCAGGUCCAAGAAAUAGAUGUGUAUAUAUAUAUAUAUAUAUAUGAACGUGUGUGCGUACAUGCACACAUAUGGAAAGAGAAAAAUAAUGGCAUUGCAUGAGAAUAGCACAUCUUCUCACAAAAUUGCAGUGAUGCGGUGUUUAUCAUCAUCGCCUCCAAGAAGGAAAAGAAGGGAAAAAAUAUUUUGAAGAAAGCAUAUUUUGUAUAUAAUUUAACGAAAUGUUAACGGAGGAGCAGGCGAAAAGAGAAAAAUGAAACCACAGGAUACUAACUUAAUACACUUUAAUCCACAGGGUUACUAAAGUGAGAAAGUGCGAAACCAUAGGGGUGGUAUUUGAAGUUUACCCAAAAGAGUAACACAUAAGAGAAAGAGAAUUCAUAUAGAUGUAUAAAUUUAUUGUGGGGCUAAAAUACUAUUGAUAGUAGCAAAGUGGCGGCCGCGACCAAGUUUUUGACCCAUGGAUCAAUAGGGUCUAGGGUCCAGAGUUUAGGUUUAGUGGUUGCUACUAUUGAUUGUAGCUCAACUUUACAUUCGCAUAUAUAUAUAUAUAUAGUCGAUCACACUGAAGGACUUUCCGCAGAAAGUCACAAUCAUGUAGCAUUCAUCACCAUCACCUUGCACAAAAUACCAGUCCGGGCAAUAUGAUAUAUAUAUAUAUAUAUAUAGAGAGAGAGAGAGAGAGAGAGAGAGAGAGAGUCAUCAGCCUACAAGAGUAGCCGAAAUGCAGGUCCACUUCCUCUCUGGCCAACAACCAGGCAGAAUUUGGUUCUAGAAUAAGGCAAUUUAGGUAAAAAUGCAUGGAGACCCCCUUUACCGAGGCUGCAAUUCACCUAUCCUCGAGCCCCAGGGGUGGAGAAAUUCUGAAAAUAAGCCCCUCAACUUAGUCCAUGUCGCAAAGUCUUUUUUUUUAACUUGCCAAAAAUGGGGAAAAGGGUAACGGCUGCGACGAUAACGAUAUGAACAUGUUGCCUGCCUUUUAGUUUUUGAAAGAAACUUUUGCUCUCUUCUGCAUGUAAAGAAUCCAUAAAAUUACAAAGGUAAUUAAAAAUAGAAAAGUCUAUUUCUAGAGUUGAAGAAAGGCCAAUUUGCAUAAAAAAUCCACCAGUUUUGCGAUUUUGCAAGUUCCGUCCCUCAUUUUGAGAGAGAGAGAGAGAGAGAGAGAGAGAGAGACAUCGGCCUGCAAGAGUUGCAGAAAUGGCAAACUACUUCCUCUCUGGCCAACAACCAGGCAGCAUUUGGUUCAAGGACAAAGCCAUUCAGGCGAAAAUGUACAGAGAGCCGCUAAAGUGGCAAUGCAAUUUCCCUGCCCUGCAGCCCCAGGCAAGGAGGAAUCCUGGGAACAAGCCCCUCAACUAAGGUCAUGUUGAAAGAAGGCCUUUGUUUUUCUUUUCCUGCAGAAAAUGGCCAAAGGGGACACAUUUGCUCUCUUUCUUUUUCUUUUUUUUUCUUUUGUCCUCUUCUUCUUCUUCUUCUUCUUUCUAAGAGAAAUCCAGCAGGCACCUUGGAUUUGUUUUUUUUUUUUUUUUUUGAGGGAAAGAAACUUUUGCUCUGUUUCAGUGGAAAAGAACCAGUGAAUGCAACAAGAGAGAGUGGAAAGAAAAAAAAAACCUAAUUUCAAAGUUCGAAAAACAAAAUGAUCAUCAAAGAAUUCACAAGAAACAAAUACAAAUUGAUAAAAUGGUAAAAUGGUAAUACCAAGAACAAAACGAUAACGAAUAUAUGACGAGCUUCCAAUAAUACCUUCGAUUUUCUCAGCAAAAGGGAAGGAAAGAAAACAAAAGCAAUGCUCAGAUUACCUGGACAAAAUGACUAUUUUAAUGGCCGAUGUGGCAUGUUCGUAAGUUCAACGAUGUAGAACAAAAGCAACGCUCAAAGUAAUGCCAUCCCUUUUCCCUCACCAAAUAAAUAGUGAAGAAGAAAUUUAUCCAACAGAAUUGAUUUAUUGAUACUCAAAAAGCUCCAAAAAAUAGGGAAAGUAUGAUUCAAAUACUAAAUUGUUCAUCCAACAAUUUGAGUUGAAAAGUCAAAAUCAAAAUUUUAAGAAAAAAUAUAUGCAAUAAAUCAAACUGAAACCCCCCAAAUAAAACAGAAAAAAGAACAGCAAGUGAGAAAGAUGUUAAAGGUAGAGAGAUGAAAAGAUCAACAGAGAUUCCACUCUCGUAACGACUGUGUAGCUGCAGCAAGCCUGCCCAACAGCAGGCCACCCAGCUGCCAUGCCAACAUCAGUAGAGAGAGAAUUGAGCCGUAAAUGGAAAAUUUGAAGUUUCCGUUUUCCGCUGUUUUUCGGCGGAGAACGAAAACUCUCUGGAGGAUGAUGGUCUCUUACCCUCUUUAUAUAUAUAUAUAUAUAUAUAUAUAUAUAUAUAGAACUAGGCAAGAAUACUAUUAAUAGCACCAAGUUAUAGGUACUAUCAGUUUUUCGGCUCUUCGAUGAAGGAUGUGCGGUUAUAAUGACAGUGAUCCCUCUAGAGUUUAGUGAGUGGUUGGUAGAACAAUAUGAUCUAAGGAGUGGAACUAGUCGAAGGGAUAGAUCUAAUGGAGAAAAAUUUGGUAACAUCAAGUGUUUGGUGCUAUUGAUAGCACUGUAGCGGGCCUCAUAUUUAUAUAUUAUAUCCAUGUUAUUAUAUAUUAUAGAACUAGGCUGGAAUACAUAUAGAUGAUGAUGAUGAUGAUGAUUAUACUAAUAUAUAUAGAUAUAAAUAUUAAUUAUAUAAAUAUAAUAUGAUAAUUAUUUAUAUAAAUAAUGAUACAUAAUAUAACAGAACAAAAAUAUUUAAAAUUAUUUUUCAUUCAAAUUUUUUCUUUCAAUCAAACAAGCAUUGGAAAGCUCCUUUUUUCCCCUACAAAUAAAACGUUAAAGAGCGUUUUUUUUUCCAUCGAAAUUUCUUUUCCACCGAAAAUUAUCUUUCACAGUUUUACGUUGAACCAAACGGACCCUAAAUGGAAAAUGAGCUAUAAACCACAGGGGAGCAAAAAAGAGUAAAACUUUUGGAAUCACGGAGUGGCAAAGUAAAAAUGAGCUAAAACACGGGGGGCAAUUUGAAGUUUACCCUUUCUUUUUUCAUGAUCCAUUGGGGAAAAAAGAAAAUGAAUGAAAAUUUUUGAAGGAUAUGUUCAUUGUGAUGAGGAAAAGAAAGAAUAGUGCAACGCUUACAUACAAUUUCCACAGGAUGCGAUCCGAUUGGCUCGGUCCACGGAUGGCGCGGUGGACCAGGUCUAGGAUUUGGCUUCAAACCCCUCCCGGUGCGCCGCGGCGGCGCUAGGCCCUCCGGCCACCGCACCCACCGAGGAUACUAGGGUUCAUAGCAGUAGCUUGUUGCCUCAUAGUCGGCGUCGUAUGCGGACGCGCGAUGAGGUGGACGAGGCGAGGGGUCGCAUGGAGACCACGCUCCUCCUCCGCCAUUGUUGCGAAAAUAGAGAGAGAGAGAGAGAGAGAGAGAGAGAGAGAGAGAGAUGAGAUGAGAUGAGGGAUCGCAUGGAGAACACGCUCCUCCUCCGCCAUUGCUGCUCAAAUAGCGAGCGAGAGAGAGAGAGAACGCGCUACCUCCGAAUUAGGGUUUCUGGGGAAGAAGAAGACGACGAAGAAGACAAAGAGGUGGGCGUAGGGCUCGUUGGUUUUAUUUAGUGUUUUCAUGGCGAAUCAAAGCCGUUGGAUGGGUAACGGAGGGCCGUGAUCAAGAAUCUAGAAUAAUCCGACUACACGAAUUUCCAAAAUUGCCCUUCCCCUCUUUCUCGCUCGUCGUUGUUCGUGCGUGAUCAGAAAAGUUACAUUGACGGAAAUGCCCCUCCUCUCUUCCCCUUUCUUCAUCAUUGCCCCCAACCGCCUCGGAAAUCGUGAAGUGUCAGAUUUAAUGCUGUACAGUUGCCAAUUAAUUUUAAACGAUUGAGUUAACCAUUCAUUAAAUUAAAAUCAUAAAUAAUUUUGUUAAAAAUAAUGAAUUUAAAUUAUUUAAAGAGCUUAAAAUAUUAUCAUCCAAUCUGCGAAGUUUUGGCAACCGAAGGAAAAGAAAAUGAAUGGAGUUCUACAAUUGGAAAAAAAAAAAAAAGAAACAGAAAAACAAACAAUAGCAACAAAUACCUAAUAAAGAGGAAAUUGAAAUAACCAAGUCUUGCAGAUACGAAAACAACAUCAGCGAAGCGAAAACAUGCAUGCAAUAAAAAUAAGGAAUCCGAAUAACACCAAACAGCAGUGAAAGCCGCUAAAUAGUGCGGUCGCCGUGAAGUGAAACACACAAAAAAAAAGAAAAAAAAAGGAAAAAUCAUGAAUAUAAAAAAACCCAAUACUGCACCAGAAACAUCAGAUGUUGCAGUACAUGAGCCAACUUCUAGACAGGAUUCUUUAGUAGCAGCUACAUCCACAUUCAAUGAUGCUCAUAGACUUAUAACAGGCAUAUAAUAUGAAGCUAUCAGAAGAAGCACUUUGGGCAUAAGCCCAUGGAAGCAGAAGCAGCAAAUACAUGAUUUUAUCCACAUGCGAACAAAUCUCGAAGGCGAGUACGUAUGAUAAUUACCUCUGCGAAGAAAAGAAGAAAAAAUUCAAUACCAGCUCACUAGCAAAGUACCAUUUUGGCAUCAGAAGCAAUUGAACUUGCAAUUGAGACAUCAAAUUGUCAGAUUUGUCGUCAUCCUCUCUUCAUUCCAGUAGUCUCACAACAAUAAGUGCACAACUUGAAGACAGAAGAAAAACAUAUUACCAGCCAGAAUGUCAACCAAACAUCACCUCUCUCUUUAGUCGCAGCGUCAAAGUUCUACCGAAGCAACACCAGGUAAUAAAGGGGUGACUUGCGAUAAAACUUGCAAGUGAUAUUAGUAGUUAAAUAAACUAAACACACAUUAAGGCUUGCACAACUCAGGAGCUAUCCUCUAGGAAAGUCUUUAGACAAGGAUUAGUUUGCGUACGGAAAAAAGAUGAUGAAAGCAUAAUUUAGUGUUGCAUCUCCUUUAUACUUUACAGUUAAGCAAAAGAACCAAACGAAGCUCAAUGUCGAACACUGUAAAAGAACCAAACGAAGCUCAAUGUCAAACACUGAAUUAAUAAGUAACUGAUAUAGUUACCAGCAGCAGUAGCAUCUCCAUUAAAUGAAAAAUCAUGCGAAAGUUUUAAAUGAUACGAAAAGCUCUUGACAAAGAUCUAUCUCUCACUGGCAUGCACAACACAGGUAACAAACAUGAUGCUCCAAAGUAUCAAACUCUCGAUAACCUCUUAAUAACCAUUUCAUCUUCAGAUCCUUCCCUAAGUGGCUCUUCAAACAGUUACACUUGCAGCAAUAUUAGAUCCUCAAUUAAAUAGAAAACCAUGUAACAGUAUCAGGAAUUCUAUCAACAAAGAAGUUGUCAUAGUCCACGGCAUAAAAAUGAAGCAUGACACUUUGAGGACAUCACUCUUCAUGUUUUCUAGCAAAGUGUACAUAACAUACUCCCAUCCAACUAGCCUAAUAAUAGUAAUCACUGAUUGGAAUGAGAUCCAGGUAAUUCAGAAUCACUCGCUCCAUCUAGUCACUCCUCUUUCAGAUUUUCCCGCAGAGACGCACCCACCAAUACUUCAAUAAAUAAGCACGAAAGGGACCAUAUGUUCAAACAUUACAAUCAGAUAUAAGUAUGGUUACUCUCACAGAAGACGGACUCCGACCUUCUUCCUAGAAUCAAAAACAAGAAUCCCAAUAAACUAAAAAAAAAACAAAAGAACCCUGAACAACAGAACAAAAGUAACACAGGUUGAGAAGCAAAGUUAUACCUUUCUUGCCAUUUCAAGCUUGAAAUCUAUAUUUUACAAUUAAUGCGGCUUAAUACUUUGCGAUAUGCAGCUCUUCCUACGUUGCCUUAUUUGGUGACUAAGGAACUUAACGUAGAGAAUAACACUAACAUUGAUAAAUCUAGAGUCAUCCAUUUUUUGAUGCAAUUGGGAGAAGGUAGACGCCCUCUUGCUUUGCUUAAGAUACGCAUAAGCACACAAGGAUAAAAGUAUUGGUCCGAGAAUUUAAGAUGAGCAACAACAAAUUUAAACAUGAAAUUCUGAUGAAAUAAAAAAUGGAUAGCUUCCAAAAGAAUCUUAAACUAUGAAAGUAAAGAUACAACAUAUUCAGCUGAAACUAAGGAAUUCAGUGUGGCACUGUCUCAGAACAGUACCUGGCAUUCUAUGUCAGGAUGCGGAAAAGUAACAGCGAAAGAUACAAACAUAAAAUGCAUUCGCCAAGAAUUCAAAUAACUUAAGCCCGGUUGAAGUACAGCAGAACAACAUAAAAUUUUUCACUUGGUAAAAAGAAAAAACAAUGCAAAUUAAUCACACACAUGCAUAAUGAUGAAAAGCAUCAAACAGAGAAAGAGAACAUACUUAAAAGUGAAGAAACAUAAGCACUCAUCAUUGCUCUCAAAAAACAAGAAAAAACAAAGACACUCAUCAUUUACGACCCUAAACAAUUGGUUAUCCUAAAUCCUAAAACAAAAAAAAGCUAAAAAGCUUAUUUAAAGAGAUCAAAUAGAAUGAAGUAACAAACUUACCUAUAAGGUAUACCACUCUGUAAAAGGAAAAUAUCUGUAUGAAAUGUUUAACUAAUUUAUAGUGGCACUAGUGUAUUAUCUAAACUUAACCAGAAUAUCCUAGAGAAUUGUCAUAAAACUCGAACAAUUGAACUCGUGAGGAUUAAUACCUAAUUCAGCCCAAUAAGAAGUAGACCAUAGAAUCAAUUAAAGCCAAUGCCUUUGCGCAUCUAAUUAACAUAUCUAAAGCAAAUUGCACCAAAACGAACAAAUCGACACGGAAAUGAGAAAUAUAUUUUCACCAAACAGACUAUCUUUUCAUUAAUUCAUAUUUUAUUAGAAUAAAGUUUUCUCCUUUUUUUCCCCACUCAAUGAGUGUUCAACCCAUUCUCCACACCGAGACCAUACAACACGCCGGCGUACUUUUCGGUGGAGCCGUUGAAGAACGACUCCUUCAACUUCCUGAAGGUACAGGACGUGAGCAAGCUAUCGGACCCGGCCUGGUGGCAGAUCCCGACGCGCUCGACUUCGAGCAAUUCGGCGAGCUUGUUGAGGCCCCCGUGGAGGCUGUUGCAGAACUUCAUGAGGUGCUUGAUGUCGUAGACCAUGGGGAAGUAGAUCUUGAUGAGGGCGAAGAAGCCGGCCUGGGUGUCGGGGAGGUUCUGGCAAGUGAGGAGCUUGAGGAGGUAGCCGAAGUCGUAGCCGCUGUGGAAGGUGACCCAGUGGACGGAGUCGUUGAGCACGAUGCCGGACGACAUGAGCAGCUCGGCGAAGCGGUGGGCGUCGAUGCCCUUCUCGUUGUUCUUCUUGAAGUCGAUGCCGCUCUGGCGGAGGAGCUCGAUGGAGUCGGAGGCGUAGACGUCGCGGUGGGCGUCGAACUCGCGGAAAUUGAACUGCCAGACGCAGCCGCGGCCGGUGCCGCAGGUGGGGAGGUUGCCGGCGGCGUCGGAGAAGGUGAGGCCGAGCUGGAUGAGCUUGAGCAGGUCGACGUUGGCCUUGAGGGUGGCGUAGUUGAAGUCGGAGUUGGUCUUGAAGCUCCCCAGGGGGCGGAGGACGAUCCCGGGGAACUCCGUGUCCAUCGCCACGUACGGGAACUCGUCGACGAUGUCGCGGAUCAGGGCGAACUCCGACUCGAGGUUCUCGCCCCACACCUCGCGGAUCUGCACCGUCUCGUUCUUCGGCAGGAUCGCGCUCGACAUCUCCGGACCAUCCAAAACCUCGCGGAAACCCUAGGAAUCGGGGACGGAGAGCACGGAUCUAGCGCGGGCGAGGGGGGAUUCGGGCACGAUCGGCGUGGAUCUGGGGAGAGGAAACUAGGGUUUGUGGGGAUUUUGAAGGGGGGAUGCGCGGGGUCAAAGGGGGUGGGCGAUGAUGAGGAUGCGGAGAACGUCGUCGUCGUUCCCCUGAGCUAGGGUUUACUCGUUUUCAAAAUCGCAUCGGCGUCGGCGAGAGGAAGGUGAAGCGAAGAAGAGUCGAAAGAGCGAUAAAGAGAGAGAGGUGAAAUGACGAGGAUUGGGGCGGCGAGGAAUUAGAAGAGGAGAAGGGGAGGUAAAAUUGCGCGGAUAAGCCCCUGUACUAUUCCUUUAUAUCAACUCCCUCCCUGGAAUUUUCACUUUUUUGUCCCCACUCAAAAACACAUGUCCCCACUCAAAAACACAAAUAAUCGCUAUAUGUCUUUACACCUCUCGUCCUCUGUUUUGAAUUGUGAUAAAAUUGCGCUACAUACGAUAAAAAAAAAGAAUAAAAUUUUAAUACUGACUGUUCUCGACGCGAGACUAUCAUAUUUACUAUUUUAUCACAUAAAUUAGCACGAAUUUCAAAGCAGCUGAACAGUGAAUGUGAUCGUCUUUCAUAUUAGUGGGACAAUUCUUAUCAAAAUUUUGUUCAGUCAGAUAUAUGAUAUUUAUUUUGGUACGUAAUAUUAUAUUCGGUGUAUUGCAAUGAGUCGAUUACGAUAUGUAAUAUAUAACUGCAUUAAGUGUUAGACUGAUUUCAAUACCAAAUGGGUCGUUAAUAUUAAAAAAGCGCCAACAAUGUUAGAUCGAAAGGAGUCGGGAUGAUAGCAUGUGGAAAUAUAAUUUUUUGGUUUCAAUAAGACAACAGAAAUUACAUAUUAAUAAAAAAAAUAUGAUAUGCGUAAUAUUUCAUUACAAAAAUAAAUAAACAAAAAAGAACCUCUUAUCAUUUUUUAUCAUCAUAUACAAUGCAUCAAAAUACCAAUCAAGAAUUUAAAAAGUUAUAAAGAUCAUUAUUUCAGUUUCUAACAUUCAUUGCGUUCUAUUAAACAGGUCCUUUUUGUAAUUCACUGUAUUUAAUUAUUUUCACACCAUAUAUAUUUAUAACUUAGUAAAAAUUUUAUCGCAAAAAUCAUAACAAAUAGAUCAACAUCAAACUUUGACAUAUACUAAUCUUUAAUAUCUGAUCUGUAAAUAUAAUUUAAUUCAUUCAUGAAAUAAACUUUUAGACUUUGUUCAAAAUUAUAUAUCAAAUUAAUUUAUUUUACAAAAAUAGAAUGUAAAAUGAUUAUUUUCUCAAGAAAAAGGUAAAAUGUUUUUCAACAAGUGUAUCAGUGCAGCAUUUGUAGCCCUUCACAAUUAAAAUAAGAAUCAAAUAAGAAUUUAAUAUAUUACAGGGACUUCUCCGUAAAUUUUACUUUAGAAAGCAAUGGAGAGCACGGGCGAGCAACGGUGCGGUGAACUGCUGGUGUCGGUUACGCCCGAUAUUUAAAGCCCACGCGUCGCGAUCCAACAGGCUGAGCGAGGAGCGUGGGCCCUCGUCGUCUCUCCAUUCAUAACGCGACACGUGUCCGUUUGGUUUUCGAACGUGGCGGGGCCCGCGGAGAAGGUACCGACUUUGGUCACCUCGAGCCUCGCGAGAGUGACGUGGAGCUUUUUAGUUUAUUCAACUUAAUUUCAAAUUUUAAAUUAAUUUGCUUUAUUAAUUUAAACUAAUUUGAUUAUUACUAAUUAGGGUGCGUAAAAAAGAAAAUGCUAGAUCUAUAAUAAAUUGGAACACUUAUAAUGGACGGUUGUGAUUCUACGAUAAGAAUGAUUUGAGUGAGAGUAAAUACGGAUAUGAAAAUAAGAAAAAAAUUAAAAUCAUAUGAACUAAAUUUCAGUUGAGAGCUCGAUUCAAAUAUAUAAAAAUUAACCUACUCUUAUCCGCCUCGAAUAUGUGACGAAUAAAAAAAAUAUAACUUAAAAUUUAAUUUAAUAUUAAUUCCAACAAAAAUUACCAUUGGAAACAGGGAUGACAAGGGCGUUGACAUAUUCGGAAUAAAAUUUUAAAUAUUUUUAAAAUUCAAUAUACGAUAAAUUGUAGAAAAAUAAAAUGCGAAACACAAUAUAUAAUGAAUUUAUCGUAUUUAAUUUUUUAAAAAAUAAAAAAUUGCUACUAAAGUUUGUCAGAUCGUUGGCGUUAAUUGUUAAUCCGAAAAAUUCGAGUUGUCAAAAAGAUAUAAACAAUUCACUUUAGCAUAUAGGUAAAGCGCCAACGGAUUUCGAUAUGCUAUUUCGAAUUGACUCAGCUCAAUUUGACCUUCCGUCAUGUCGAACAUGUUUCGACUCAAUUUGGUUUCUCACCGGCCACCACAGCGCAGGAUGCUGGCUCCAUUAAACCAACAAUCCUCUCCCCGAGCACAUACAUAAAUUCGUAGCGUGCGACAAUCGAAACUCUAGCUGUUAAAAAGAUACGAUCAAUUUAUUUAAACUAUAUAAAUACGUUGCUUACGGAUAUCAAUUGUAACUUAGUCGAACCAACCUUGCGCCAUUUUCGAACACGAUUCAGUCCAAUCCGACCCCACGUCAUUUCGAGCUUAUCCUCAUUCAAUCUGGCCUCUCACUACACAAUAGAAUGUUGGCUUUUUUUAAACAACAAAAUUAAUGAUGAUGGUGCAUUGCACCCUUAGAAACACUAUUUGUUUGUUUAUUUAUUUAUUAAAUUCCUCUCUAUCUAAUUAUUAUUUUGUUUUAUUAUUAUUAUUAUUAUAGUUAUUAUUUUGGGUCCCACAUGAGAUAUUCCAUUCCAAUGGGCUAUGGUUCCUUAUGAACAUUGGAUGGUGUACUCCGAAAAGGACAACAAAUAUAAUUUUUAGAAAAAUUGUAAAUAAAUGAUGAGUGGUGGGGUAAAGUGCUAAAAUGCGCGUUGGAAAGUGAGACCACGUCCAUAGAAUCAGAGAUAUAUAUAUAUAUAUAUAUAUCACAAAAUUUUGCAAAAUUUGGCGACACACAUGAUGCACGAGUUCCUAUCAUAUUUUUUACUUUAUUAUUAUUAUUAUAAUAUAUUUUAAAAAAUUAUAACUUAAUUAUUUUUUAAGGCAUGGUAAGCAAAAAGGUUAAAUAUAUUUUUUAAAGCAUAGGGAGUAAAAAUUAAAACAUGUUAAAUCAUAUGGGAGCAAAUUAUAAUUUACCUAAUAUAUCCGGAGUGAAGAAGUUUAAAUUAUUAUUGGAUAUAAUAUAUCUGAUUUGGUACUAUUAAAAACUGCUCUUGAUGUAUCAAUUACUAAUUUUUUUUUGGAGAGGUUUGGUUUUUCGUGCAUUAAUACUAAAAGAGCACAGCUGAGGAUCUGUUUGUUUUCGUUGAUCUUAAACAUUGAGCUCAUGAUCGACUUUGAGAAAGUCAUAAGUGAUGUUGUUUGUUUUCGCAGUAGAAUCGCGAGAUUAGUCGAACUUCCGCUAACAAUUGUACAGUAAAUCAGUCAUUUGAUUUUGAUAAAAUGAGAAGCGAAGUCGCGCUCACAGAACUCACAAUCGGCGUGUACGUGGAGUACUUGAAAUUGUACUAGCAAAUAUUCGCAACCUCUUUUUUUUUUUUUUUUUUUCGCUUCUUCGAAGUUUAUGCUUUUCCAGUAUCAAAAUGUCGUUAAAAAAUAUUUUAAUAAUUUCUAAGUAAGCUAUAAUCAGGCCAAACAAUUCUUAAAUAUGCACAAAACUAUCAAACUUUUUUUUUUUUUAUUUUUUGUCCUCCUAUUCCUAUAAUUGUUAGGAGACGUACAACACUCAGUAAACUUUCACAGCAACUUGCUUUGUAAAAGCCAUAAUAAUAAUAAUAAUGAAACGGACGCUGCAUUUGGACGUGUAGAUCCAUCAUUAAUGAGUCAACAUGUGUCCUUAUCUUAAAUUGGAGAAAAAAAGAAAAAAGGUUUGUUAAUUAAAACUUUUUAGUUUAUUUUAUUUUUUAGAUUCUUGUUUGUGGUACGCAGAGGAAAUGUCCUUGGAUCAUCAGAUCUGGUUCGGACAAAGACAUCAGUGCAACACAAGUCCAAUUUGAAGUUUCCAUGGAAAAGAUCAUAUGGCUUGUCAAAAUUAAAAGUAAAAUUAUGUGUAGUGCUUUAUCUCUUUAUAUCCAAAUUAUUAUUAUGUCUAAGUUUAGAUUCCUUCAAUUAUGUGCGCAUAGUAAGCUAAUGAAUAUUCGUUUUGAAAUUGAGUAAUGUUACUUGCACACAUACAUAUCUAUAUACACUAAUAGAGAGAGUCCGGUUACCAUAUUGCCGAUAGUACUAAAUGCUUGGUGCUAUCAAAUUUCCUACCGUUAGAUUUAUUCUUUUGAUCAUUUUCAUUCAUUAUAUCAUAUUAUUCAACCAACUGCACAUUCAAUCCUAGAGGAUUACUGUUAUCCAAAUCAGGGACCACUAUCAUUUUAAAUGCACAUCUCUUUAUUCAAGAGCUGAAAACCUAAUAGCAUAAAGUGCUUGGUACUAUUACAAUAUAGUAGUGUGUGUAUAUAUAUAGACCUAGACGGGAAUAUUAUCAAUAGCACCAAAUUAUUGGUGUUAUUAGGUUUUCGACUCUUGAAUGAAAAAAUGUACGAUUAGAAUGAUGUGGGUCCUCUAGGAUUGAGUGAGUUAUUGGUUUAAUAGUAUAAUCUAACGGUGAAAAUAGUCAAAUGGUUAAAUCAACGGCAGAAAACUUGAUAACACCAAACGCUAGCUUAGUGCUAUCGAUAGUAUCUCAGUCGGACUCUCUCUCUCUCUCUCUCUCUCUCUCUCUCUCUCUCUCUCUAUAUAUAUAUAUAUAGCUAGUACUACUAUACUCUAUGAAUAUAAACCUUUUUGUACUUAUAAGUUUUUGACCGCUAUAUCUACCUCUUUAACUAUUUUCAUCUAUUAGCUCAUAUUGUUCAACCAACCAUUUACUUAACCCUAAGGGACCACAAUUAUUCUAAUUCGGGACCACUAUCAUUAACUGCCCAAAACUUAUGAGUAUAAAAAUAUCUAUACUCAUAAGAUUAUAAUAGCCGAACUCUCUAUAUAUAAGGUCUAAAAUAUUGCAAUCACAUAGAUAAUAUGGUGUCUUCAACCUAUCUUAUUUAAUUCCUAGAAUUCACUUACGCCAUCAUAAUUUUUAGAAAAAUAUUUAUAUUGUAUUUUUUUUCAUAAAAAAAUUUAAUUGGUUAAAAAAUUGGUGACAAAGUGGCUAUAUAGAAGACUCUCUCUAUAUAUACGGCGUAAAUCUUAUAUCUUAGUCAUUUAAAAACUAAUAUUUACUUACUACUCAUAUUAUUAUUUAAUACCAAAAAUCUCAAAAAUUAUCUAAACCCUUAACUAGGUUCAUGAAAAAUUUACACUCUACAUAUAGAGUGCAUAUAUACUAUUUUCUUUUAAAAAUUUCACAGAUCGCUCUUAGCACGGAAAUAAUAUUUAAGGGCGAGUUUGAUUAUGAUUUACAAAUAUUAUUAAAAAAUAUAAUAUAAUUAAAGAUGCAUGAUGUUGAAAAUACAACAAUUAUAUUUACAUUUUUCUCGUUUGGUGGUUGUAUAUUAGCAAAAGCGAUGAGAUACACAAAUUCGUUUUCUGUCGCCUACGAAUUUUAUUAUUUUAAUAUAUAAAAUGAUGAAAGUAUAUUAUAAAGAUCUAUUUUUAUGUCUUAAAAUCUUAUAAGGUAGGUAACAUUAUCUUCUGUAUGUUAUUACCCUACAACCGCAGCAUUUUCAACUGCUCCUAAUUUGAAUGCAGCUCGAAAUGCAGCAGUUAAAUUUUAAUUUGCUGGUCUAAAUAUAACAUGUAGAUACAACUACAGCAGUUUAAUAAAAAUUUGAACUUGCUUAUAAUUGUGCUUGUAACAUAGUUUGAGAUCCAAAAUAACAAAACAAUCACUAAAAGGUGUUACAAGGACAAAUUAACAACUUAUUGGGUGAUGAGUAUAGUCCAUGUGCUUAGUCACUUGGCUUUAUAUGGGACUCACUUUUCCUUUUUUUUUUUUUUUUUUUUCUGCUUUAUUUUUUCUCUGUUUCCUUUUUUUUUCUUUUUUUCUUUUUUUCCCAUAUUUAUCUUUUUGUUUGGUGACUGGUGAGUGAGAACAUGGGGACUCGCAUGUGCUUGGUCAGCUUUUCCUGAUCUUUCAAUUAUUACAAAAAAAAUUAUUCCCCCACUUCAGCCAUUUUUGAAAUUACUUUCUCAAAUAGAUUUAAAAUUGAGAUCUAAAUAUUUUCCCUGGCAAAUUCCUCCUCAAAAGAGAAAGGAUAACAAAAAAGAGGAUAGCUUGAUCCAUAUAGGGUAAAAAGGAACAUCCAUAUUUAAUCAACAAUCACAUACAAUGUAGGAAAUGCAUACAAUUAUACAUGUUGAGCAUCAAAGUUAAUCAUAUCUCUCAUCUGAAUCAUUUAAAAGAAGAAUCCAUCUACAUAACAAAGUUGUGAGAUCCAUUCUACAUAUAGACUAUAUUUCUUAUAGCAUUCAUACUGAAGGGGCAUUCAUGAAACAUGACCCUGACCAGGAGCCCACACAUCUCAGAUAAGAUCAAAGUCUAAUUUAAUCUAUCAAUAGAAGAACAGGCCACUUUAAAUCACACUGGAUCAAGCGAACGACUCGAGCGAUGCAAUAAAAGAAUCUACUGCGACGACACAAAGAAAGAAGCAUUAAAGAUGACAAAGUUAUCAAAAGCCUCUCGAGCAAAACAUUUUCAUCAAAAACACUACCAGCAUCAUGCAUUGUACAUGUAAAGCCAAAUACAAACUUCAUGAAUUUCUUCAAGUUCACAUGCAAAUUGUCAGUCCUCAUUUUCCAACUCUAACUACUUUAUACUUGCGACAAAAUCAAAAUGAAGAAUUUCACAACUAUUUCGGAAACUAUCAAUCAGUUACUCCUAAUUGGUAACGCCGGAAAUUAUGGAUGGAUUAGUCCCUAAUGGUAACACCAGAAGCUAUGGAUGUGAACUUCUGGAGGAAAAAAAAGAAGAAAAAUCUAAAAAAACUAAAAAAUUCUCAAUAAUGAGAAGAGCAACUCAUAUUCAAAUCAGACAAUUAUUGAAUCACCCAUAUUGAUACGAAGUGAUUCAAUUAGCUCAGUAAUUGAAUCAAAUGACCAAAUUGUGGAGAUAAUGCUCUAUUAAUUCAAACCUAGCUUACCCUCACGCAGACUGAUACCAAUUCGGCAAAUUACUAAAAUCUUACUGUAAACUAGUCUAAAAUGAGUUGGAUUGUGUCAAUUCACUUCUCAAGCAAAUAUCUCAUUGCCAAAUCUCUUGAAAAUGUUAGCUAACUUCACCAUCCAAUAAUGUAGUUAACCCCACUCUAUGAACAAACUGAAUAACUACAUAUUCAAAUCCAAAUGAUGUCGACCAAUUACCAAUCCGGUUGAACAUAGAACUUCCCUGAGCAUAUAUAGAAGUCUAGCAGACUCAAUUGACUCACUAGUAGGAUUCAAAUGACCCAAUUCGGCACCACUAUUGCAUAACUAAACCAAAUCUAUCUCCGUCACAUCUACAGUUGCACACACCGGACAAACUAAACAAAAUAAUCUCAAUUAGUUUAGGCUGAAUAUGGGUCACAAUGCACAACAACACAAGAAAGUAGAGAUUGGAUCAGAAGUCACAUCAGUAGCAUUUCACACCAUUUACAAACUGGACAGAUUCAAAUGUUUAGUAACUAAAAGCAUUAUUUUUGUGGCUUCAUAAACUUGACAUUUACAUAAUAUUAGCUCAAGUUUCCUAAAAUCUAUCAUAAACAUAAGCAGAAGCAAUUGUGCAGCAAAUAAGCAGUCCUGAUUUGAGUAAAUGAAUGAACUAUCAAAGUACAUUUCAGGAUCUUUAAUGUUCAAUUCAAAACACACUCGGCUACACGAAAUUUCAUAUCACAAUCUCUACAAAAGUGCAAUUUAAGACGGCUAUAGUGACCGAGAACAUCAAAGCAACCUUUCGAGAGUAUGGUACUGCAAUAUAACAUAGUUUUGCCAUCAGUUCCUGCCGAGUGGAAGCGACCUGCAAGAAAACGUCUCCUUGAAGUCCGAUUUCUUUGACGAAGUGAAUAUUGACGCGUACACUUCCUUCGUGGCAUUAGCCGGUGCGAUAUCCAGAGCCCUAAAUCUCUUCCCAUUACUAUCUUUCUUCCCAUUAUCCAAUACAUCGCCUUUCUCAUCGGCAGCAUGCUUCGUGCCGCUCAAGCAAGCGCCCGCCUUCUUCUCCUUCCUCUCCUUCACUCUCCCCCUCUCCUCCUCCAUCAUUGCCCUCAACAGCUUGACCUCCUCGGCGCUCCCGUUGAUCACAAUCUUAUCCGAAUCCGAGAACUCCUUAUGGCAAACCAAGCAAGACGUCGACUUCACCUCCUUCAGAGCCUUCGCACUCAAUACGUGGCCGCAACCCCUGACCGCAAAGAAGCUAUACUUCCCAUUGAAUUCAAGACCGGUAAUCGGGCACUGGAAUUUAGUUUCGGCAUCAGUAGUGGCACCCGGAAUAGAAUCGAGGUGGAUGGGGAUGAGGUCCUUGAGCCCGCGGAUGUGCUUGAACUCCUUGGGGAGCUUCUUGUGGAGAAGCGCUUCUAUGAGGGCCUCCUUGUUGAAGAGGUUGCCGAGGCGAUCGACCACGGCGGGGUGGGCGAGGGGCUCGCCGGAGAGCGCGCAGGUGGUCCACUUGGAGAGGCGGGUCUCGUUGGGGUCGACCUUAUCGGGCUUCUUCGUGGCGUACAUGUUGAGGUAGCAGUCGCGGGACUCGGCGCCGGUGGCGCCGCCAUCUCCGCCGCCGCCGCGGAGGCGGAGGCGGAGGGUGAGGUCGAGGACGCCGCCGCCGCCGCCGCCGGCGGCGGAGGCGAGGGUGGAGGAGUCGGGAAGGGGCUUUCCGUUGAGGGAGAAGUAGAGGGAGUCUAGGGCUAGGGUUUGUGGGAGGAGGAGGGAGAGCUUGAGGCGGCGGAGGGUAAAGUCGGGGGCGAGGGUUAGGGCGCGGGAGGGGAGGGAGAGGUCGGGGGAUCGGACGAGGACAUGGACGGGGGUUAGCGUUUCGUCCAUGGCUAGGGUUUCGUUUCCCUUCGAUCGGGGGAGAGGUGGGGCGAAGGAGACGAAGAAGAAGAAGGGGCAGCGUUUUGCAAGUUACUGAAGCGGGUAACGGAUCUCUAUAUAAUAUGCAUCGAAUACGGAGUCGGAGUGGAACCGCCACAACCCACCGAAGAGAUUGGCGGUGACGGGAUUCACACUAGUGGGUUUUAUGGUUUGGUUCGGACCUACGGAGUCAAAACCGGAUCGGGUCGGGUUCGUUUCGGAUCUAUUCGUGGCUUCUGACUAAUGACCUUUUAUUUAUUUAUUGCAAAAUUACAGAAGAGAAAUAUUGUAAUAUUAAACUUUUAUAUUGACUAAAUUGCAAAAAGCAACCCAUUGCCGGAUCACGUUGAGAUUCGUGCGGAUCGUGCAUCUGAUAUCAACGUUCCGAUACGCUUCGUUCUCCCGCUUCUUCUCCAAUCGCACUCUGCGCCUUAGACCCUAAUAAAACCCUAAUCGCGAAAUCCUAAAGCGAGAGCGCCAUGGACGAGUCCAAGAAGCGCGUCCCCCACUUGCCAUGGAUGCGAAACCCCGUCGACAUUGAUCUCUUUGACGAGCGUCCCCUCUCGCUUCUUCCUCAUCUCGAUCGCAGGUGCUCUUCUCCGCCGCUUUUUUUUUUUUUCAUGUACUUUUUACCUGAAUUUUGUUCUUAGUUUGACGGGAUUCUAUGAUUUUUGUGAGGUGUAGCUGAAUACUGUUCUUUUUAGGUUUUUUGUGUAAUUUAUGCAAAUAAUUUCAUUUAAAUGUAUUAAAUUUAGCUUCUUGUGCAUCGAUUGGAGGUAAUUAACAACGCAGGAUAUGAAUUUCAUAACUACAUUGGUUUUAUAGAAUUUUUGUUCAAUACGUAUGCAAUCAACUGUUUUGCUCUUGUUAUAAGAUUAUAUAUCAGUUUGUUCAAGUAGAUGAUAGAGUUCUAAGAAUGCUUUGGUUUGUAGCUUCCUAUUUUUAGCGAAAUUACUUUGCAACAAAGUAAUUUUUGCAUAUAUGCAUGCAAAAUCAUAUGUUUUGUAGUAGUGCUAGCUGAUGUUUGCUCAUUAAAAGUGUUUGUAUCACGUUGCUUUGAAGGAAUGAUUUUUGUAUUCUUUGAAGCUUAUCUUUCGUGCAUCUAGGUUGGAGGUGGCCUUGCGGAAGAUGAAUAUCGAAUCGCUAUUUCCUGUACAAGUAGCAGUGUGGCAAGAAACAAUUGGGCCUGGUGCUUUUGAACGAGAUAUUUGCGUCAACUCUCCGACGGGAAGUGGCAAGACUCUAUCUUAUGCCUUGCCAAUCGUGCAAGCGCUAGCGUCUCGGAAAAUAAGAUGUCUACGUGCGUUAGUAGUUUUGCCCACGCGAGACUUAGCUUUGCAGGUUGGUUUGGGGUUAUUUGGUUCUUCCUUUGGGGGAAGAAUUUCACUAACAGUACACAUCUUUAUUCUCUUUAAAAAAAGGAUUGUGAUCUUUUCUUUCGAACUAGGCAAUUGUUUUUAUCUUUUCUCUUUGUUGGUCAUACCUUUUUUGGUCUUUUGUUAAUAGCUAACUUAAUUUCAAUGAGGCCCAAAGUUCAAAACGGAAACAUCAAGUUUGGCAAUUCCCAGAUGUUUUUGUUCAAUAGUCAGUGAUAUGUCAAUAACAAAAUCUAAUUGUAAGUUUUCCUGUUCCUAUUCAGGUUAAAGAAGUUUUUGAUGCUAUUGCGCCUGCUGUGGGUUUACGUGUGGGCUCAGCAGUGGGCCAAACAUCAAUUGCAGAUGAAAUUUCGGAACUCAUUCAAAGGCCUAACUUAGAGAUUCAUGCAACCCUCGAUCCUGAAUAUAUACAAAUGGAACCACGAACUUCGGUGGAUAUAUUAGUGGCUACUCCUGGAAGGCUGAUGGAUCAUAUUAACAUGACAAAGGGUUUUAGUCUCGAGCAUCUUCGCUAUCUGGUAAUUUGCCUUCUCGACCAAGGAUUUGGCAUAGUACAACAUGCUGCGUGCCUGCCAAAAAAAAUACAUGUGUGCCAACAUACUAUGGCAUGAAUAUCAAUUUUCUUUGGCUCCAAUAUAUUCUACUUAUUAUAUAUUUUUGUCUAAUCUUUUGCACUUGCUGAGGGAACUACUUGCUAAUUUUACAGAAAAGAGGGUUUGAACCAUGCCAUUGACAUGGGGGUCGUAGCGUGCCAAUGUCUUGUUGGCAUUGUACAGUAUGUUGUGCACAGCCUGUGCCGAUUGGCACUCAAAUCCUUGUUCUCGACCAUUAGUUCUUGCAUGUCGUGCACAACAUAGGCCGUGCGCCUGCUAGUGAUGCUGCCCAUCCCAUUUCUUCCAUUUCAUAAGAUGAAUUAUUGUUGUUUUUCAACAUCUUCUAUUUGUAAUCUCAGGUUGUUGAUGAAACAGAUCGAUUGUUAAGAGAGGCCUAUCAGUCCUGGCUGCCAACCGUCAUUCAACUUACUUGCUCGACUGAUCAAGAAAUGCUCAGCCAUGAAACUGUUGACCCCGCUUUUCUUGGUUCCUUAAUUACCGUUAGGAGAUCGUAAGUUUCUGUCUCUUCCUCUCUAUAUUGUUUAAAGUUUCACUGGAAACUGGUAUUUGGAAAAUCGGAUAAAUCCUCUAGUUGUUUUUACUUUUGCCAUGUAGAGGUGUCGAACGGGGUUUUAAAGGUAAGCGUUACCCAAGGCUAGUGAAAAUGAUUUUGUCUGCUACAUUGACUCAAGAUCCUAGCAAGAUUUCUCAACUUGACUUGCAUCAUCCUCUAUUGUUGACAAGCGGAAAUAAGCGCUACAGACUACCUGAAUUACUGGUUUCUUAUAAGCUGGUAAGCUUUCUUCACAAUUUAUACAUGAAGAUAUCCAUUUAUCUAGUAUUGUAGCAAGUCAGUGUUGUUUUAUAUGUAAAAGAUGUUCUUUUCCAAUGGCCUAUAAUAUUUCAUUGCAUUUAAGUUAUCUGACAAAAGAUGAGCCACUUACUGUUUUUUGGUAUCCCUGCAGAUUUGUAAUUCAAAACUCAAGCCAUUGUACUUAGUUGCUCUCCUUCAAGAGUUGAAAGGGGAGAAGUGCAUUGUUUUUACAUCCUCUGUCGAAUCAACUCACAGGCUGAGCACUUUAUUGAAGUUCCUUGGAGAAUUACCAUUUCAAUUUAGCGAAUAUUCACGCCUGCAGCGUCAAUCUGUUCGGAGGUGAGCAUCUAUAGUUUCCUAACUUAAUAGAGUUAGUGUUAGAUUAUCUGUUUGUGUCGCAUUUGUUAAAUUCAACUAUCUAAUUUUAUGGUAGCUUUUUGUUUUGUUAUUUUUCUGAUCAUUUUCUAAUUGUGUAUCUAACACCUUAUGCUGUUAAUUUAUUUUGCUGUUGUUAGGGUGUUUUCUGCAUAAGCUUCACUGUCUUUGUGUGUUAAUUUGUCUAGAGUUCUUGUCCAAAUGAAGUUGUGGCAAUGUAGAGUAGCUAUGAUUCUUGUUAAAUGCCGUGUCCACUAUUGGAAGGGAGAGUGAAAUACCUAACUAACAUUCUUUUUUAAAAUCAUUUACUUCUGUUUUCUUUCUUGCGCAGCAAAACAUUGAAGGCCUUUAGAGAAGGGAAGCUAGAAGUGCUUAUUGCAACAGAUGCAAUGACUCGAGGAAUGGAUGUCGAAGGGAUAAGAAAUGUCAUAAAUUAUGAUAUGCCGCCGUAUGUGAAGACAUACAUACACCGAGCAGGCCGCACUGCAAGAGCAGGACAGUCCGGUCGCUGCUUUACUCUGCUAAGAAAACAUGAAGUAAGGCUAUUUUCCUGCAAAUAAUGUACUCGUACUUGCGAUUGUUACUUUAAGUAGCUCUAUACUCUAUUCUAGUUCAAAUGAUAAAGAAACUUGUAAUUUUUUGAAAAAUACACUUUUCUGAUAGUAGCAUUCUCUAAUUGGGUGUUGCUUUUCAAUUUAUUUAAUGCUCUUUACCCUUUUAAUUAAUACUUGUCCUACACAUUAUAUGCUUUAAAUUUCUCUGCUUAAUUAAAAGCCUCAGACAUGCUCCUCGUUUCUCAGGUGAAACGUUUUGAUUCGAUGCUUAAGAAGGCGGAUGAUAAUUCCUGUACUCUUCAUUCUCUGCCUGCUGAUUCAAUAGAAAGCCUUCUUCCUAUUUAUUCUUCUGGUAGUGAUAUCGCCCUAAUUUUCUUUUAUUAUUUAACCAAAUAGUGUUUCUCCUUACUCUCUUAGCUCCGCAUUCUUAUAUAUUCUGCUCUUUUUUUUUUUUUUUUUUCUUCGCGAGUUUAACAGCACUGGAGAAGCUGAAAGAGUUUGUGGAAUCGGAAGCGAGGAGGAAAUCCAGCAUAGGUUUCAAAUCUGCAAAAGGAAACAAAAGAAAGAGAACUACCCACAAAGUGGAGUAGAUCCAAGUUCGAGGUACAAACCGUUCUUCCUGUUGUUUUCUGGUGCCCUAAUCUUUCCUUUGCGUGUUCUCUGAAAACCCUAAUGAAUGGUCCAGUGGACAGUUACAUUCUAAUCACAACAUGUUCGACAUGUUCGACCCUACGCUCGUUAUCGCUAUCACGUGAAACUCAGCAUUAAUUUUCCUGUGUUCAUUUGUAUGGUAGCCCCCUUUGUUAGUCUACACCUGAUCUUUUCUUUUAGAAGAGCAACAGUUUUGUAUUCUUAUUUUUUUAUGCUUUAAUCUGUCCUCUGCUCUGGCAGGGGGAAUUAUCAGACUGUUUUUCAAGUGAAACUCCAAGAACCAGUUUCAUAAAAGUUAAGCUUGACGCUUUGGUGUCGAUGCUGCGUGACACGAGUAAAGAAGUCGAGAAUACGUGUCCAUAAUAUCAUCGACUCAGGCUACCUGCAGGUUCUCAUUAUGAGGAACUAUUUGGCGUCUACCUGUGGGUUCUCAUUUUGAUCAACUAUUCAACAAAUUGAAAGUAUUAUGGUGAAAUUUUUGCCCAUUACCUGUUGUUCUUGGUUCAACUAGUUUAUCUCAGAGGGAUCUCUUCGGAGUUUGCGCGAUGCGCUACGCAAGUAGACACGGUUUGUCGGAGUUGGAGUAGCUGAUCGACGGCUGAGAUUGCAUCAAUCUUGAAAUCACUGGUUACUGUUUAUGAUUCGAGUGAGUUUUGGCAAUUUAAUAAAAUAUCUGGAGUGUAAUUAUGAGGAAUGUUUUCAAUGGAGAAGAUAGAACAUUGAUCUACGUAGCAAGCAAUAUAGAACUGCUUGAUGAUUAUUUUUUGUAAUUUUUUUUUUCUAGUAACAGGGAUAUUUACUCAUGCAAUACCCAGGAAUAAAAAGAUGGGAAACCAAAUCAAGUAAAAGUUUAUUUUGACAAUAAUCAAGAAAUUUUCUCUAAAAACUGGUUUAAUAUGCUGUUCCACCAAGUUAAAUGAAACAGGUACAAAUCAGAGUUACGAGCUUCACAAUUAUCUGCUCUGGCACAAUCCAAGAACAACGUGUGUAAUAAAUACUAUCAUCUCCAAAAUUAAUAUAUACAUAUGCAUACAUAUACUCUCUACAAACUUCAGCAGUUGUCCCCAACAUAUAAAAACACGAGUGCCCGCUCGGUGGUACAAACAAGUAAAAAGUUCACUCUGUUGAAAGGCAAUUCAGGAGCAAUUUGGAACCGGUUUAACUGCACUGAGCUCAUUACCAGCUCACGAUCCUCGACGAGACGGGGGAAUAAAACGACUGGCUCAAUCAACACAAGCAAAUACAAUCACAUUUGAAAUGUUUCUUACCCUUUUGAGCCAGCCGAAGAAAUGUGAGCAAGAACGCCAAACAACGGCACACUGCAAAAUCACUAGCGAGCUCACUGAUCGGUUCCUACAGCAAGAAUGCACUGGGCGAGAUGUGUCAGAUACGGCUCUGCCUGCGAGCUGUUGCUCAAAAUGGGAGCGAGACUCUGAAGCUCGGCAUUAAAUUCCUUCUCAAAUUUCCUGUAGUUUUGGGGUGUAAGUAGUCACAGACAUGUAAGAUUUGAAAAUUGGUUGUUCAUUUUUAGUUUUGACUUGUGUCAGUAAGUUUGGUUAAUGACGGACUGCCUUACAUGAUAGAGUCGGAGAUUAUGAUAUUCUGAGAUGCUAACUUUAGCUGCUCGCCUCUAAACGAAGAUCUCUUUGAUUUAGACUUUAGCGUUCCAGUAGUAGCAGCAUCAAAUGCACUAUCCGGGUCAGGGACAUAGAUAGAUGGUAUCAACAAUUGAAUGGAAGCCGAAUAUUGAAGGCAUAUGGAUUUCAGCUUCUCGAUUUUCUGCAACAAGUAGAUGCAGACAUAAGAUAAGAAAUUUAUACUGCUCUGUGAGGUUUCAGGAAACGCAUAAUGGUGUUUCAUCUAAUCUACUACUCCGAUAUGUUUCUGGUAAAAAGGAAAAAAAGAAGGGAAGCAUGAAUGGAAAUAUAAAUUAGAACGACCUUGAGAAGCUGAGGAGAAAGGAGCAAACAUUCUUUCAGACAUUUUUGGAGGAAGAAAUCAUGGAAUUGGAUGACCUGAAUAUAAAAGAUCAGCAAUAAAUGACCUCAUAAGGUGCUUAGAUUUAAUAAUGCUAUCAAUUAAUGCAUCUAGAGCAAUUAAAUAGAACCUCAUCUAUGCUUAUUGCACUUUGAAGGCGAUUACACAUCAAAUGCCAGUUUGGCUCAAGCACCUGACGACAAUAUAAUGUAAAAGCAUUAAUUCCAAUCAAGUGGAACUUAUUUUUGAUAUAAAAAAAAGAACGCUGAUUACCUCAAAAGUUAGAUAAUGUAAAAGGCUGUUUAUAAACUUAAGCAUGCUGCGACAGAGAAUGGAAGAUCGCAAUAUUGGUGUUCCCAACAUGCUGAAGGAACGAAAUCCCUGUAACAAAAUUAUUAUCAUUCAACAGGAAAGGACAUCAGAUAUAUAACUGAGAUAUUCAUAUGUUUACCCGGCAAAAUUAUCUGUUUACGGACAUAUCCCUGUGCAAUAUAUGCUUUUCCAAAACUUUGUUUGUA
rnacentral:lncRNA from 1 species